rnacentral:rRNA from 1 species
CUGAACCAGCCAAGUAGCGUGAAGGAUGAAGGCUCUAUGGGUCGUAAACUUCUUUUAUAUGGGAAUAAAGUUUUCCACGUGUGGAAUUUUGUAUGUACCAUAUGAAUAAGGAUCGGCUAACUCCGUGCCAGCAGCCGCGGUAAUACGGAGGAUCCGAGCGUUAUCCGGAUUUAUUGGGUUUAAAGGGAGCGUAGGUGGAUUGUUAAGUCAGUUGUGAAAGUUUGCGG